GCGGGGCUAGGAAAAUUGCUGCCUGGGUCGGCUGGGCCUGUGGGCCUGCGUCCGACAGCGCGCGGCCGUGCUUUCUAAGCGGGCUCGGCAGCACCAGACUUCACCGGCCCGGCGCGGGGCUCACAAGUGCUCGCACUCCCUGCGGCCGGCGCGCUGACCGGAGCCUCUGGGUCUCGCACGCAGCAGCUGCAGACGCUGCCCGGCGCGGUGGGGCUGUGAGCAAAACGGCCCGCCGGUGUGGUUGCCCAGACUGUGCUGGGCCCUCCUAGGUGGAUGGCCCUGCCCCAGCCUAACUUCUGUACCCCAGCAUAACCUCCAAAGUAACAGCCGUGCCCUGGGAGCCUGUUCAACACUGAACAUAUCCCACAAUAACACUGUUCCAGCGUCGCUGGUAAAAAGCAGAAAUGGCUUCGCUGGAGGCAUCGACAAAUCUAAUGCAGUAACCUCAUUUUACAGAAGAGAACUCUAAGAGGAUAACUAACUUGGCCAAGAU
rnacentral:lncRNA from 1 species